rnacentral:rRNA from 1 species
AGAGUUUGAUCUUGGCUCAGGACGAACGCUGGCGGCGUGCCUAACACAUGCAAGUCGAACGCCCCGCAAGGGGAGUGGCAAACGGGUGAGUAACACGUAAGCAACCUACCUCAAAGACCGGCACAACUAGUCGAAAGACUGGCUAAUUCCGGAUGUGUCCGGAGGGUCGUAUGAUCUUCCGAGUAAACCCAGCAAUGGGCUUUGAGACGGGCUUGCGUCCUAUCAGCUAGUUGGCGGGGUAAUGGCCCACCAAGGCGAUGACGGGUAGCUGGUCUGAGAGGACGACCAGUCACAAGGGAACUGAGACACGGUCCCUACUCCUACGGGAGGCAGCAGUGAGGAAUUUUCCACAAUGGACGAAAGUCUGAUGGAGCGACGCCGUGUGUAUGAUGAAGUCCUUCGGGAUGUAAAGUACUGUCAGUGGGGACGAUAUUGACUGUACCCACAGAGGAAGGCCCGGCUAACUACGUGCCAGCAGCCGCGGUAAUACGUAGGGGCCAAGCGUUGUCCGGAAUUAUUGGGCGUAAAGGGCGCGUAGGCGGCUUGAUAAGUCAGAUGUUAAAUCUACAGGCUCAACCUGUAGCCGCAUCUGAUACUGUUUUGCUGGAGAGUGGUAGAGGAAAGCGGAACUUCCGGUGUAGCGGUGAAAUGCGUAGAUAUCGGAAGGAACACCAGUGGCGAAGGCGGCUUUCUGGACCAUUUCUGACGCUGAGGCGCGAAAGCCAGGGGAGCAAACGGGAUUAGAUACCCCGGUAGUCCUGGCCCUAAACUAUGUUCAUUGGGUGUUAGAGGUAUCGACCCCUCUAGUGCCGUAGCUAACGCGUUAAAUGAACCGCCUGGGGAUUACGACCGCAAGGUUAAAACUCAAAAGAAUUGACGGGGGCCCGCACAAGCGGUGGAGCAUGUGGUUUAAUUCGAUCUACGCGAACAACCUUACCUGGGCUUGACAUGCUGAUAGUAUUGAACCGAAAGGGGAUAGAUCCAUAGCAAUAUGGAAGUCAGCACAGGUGCUGCAUGGCUGUCGUCAGUUCGUGUCGUGAGAUGUUUGGUUAAGUCCAACAACGAACGCAACCCCCAUCUCUAGUUGACAGCGUUAAGUCGGUCACUCUAGCGAAACUGCCCCUGAUGAAGGGGAGGAAGGUGGGGAUGAGGUCAAGUCAUCAUGGCCUUUAUGCCCAGGGCUACACACGUGCUACAAUGCAGUGUACAAAGGGAUGCGAAUCCGUAAGGAAGAGCAAAUCUCAAAAAACACUGCUCAGUUCGGAUUGAAGGCUGCAAUUUGCCUUCAUGAAGCUGGAAUCGCUAGUAACCGCAGAUCAGCGUGCUGCGGUGAAUACGUUCUCGGGCCUUGUACACACCGCCCGUCACACCAUGGAAGCCAGAAACACCUAAAGUCUCCGGUUCGCCGGGGCCUAGGGUGGUGCUGGUGACUGGGGUGAAGUC